rnacentral:rRNA from 1 species
UGCGUAGGCGGGCUAAUAAGUCAGUGGUGAAAUCUCUCGGCUCAACCGGGAAACUGCCAUUGAUACUGUUAGUCUUGAGUUCGGUUGAGGUAGGCGGAAUGUGUAAUGUAGCGGUGAAAUGCUUAGAUAUUACACAGAACACCAAUUGCGUAGGCAGCUUACUAGACCGACACUGACGCUGAGGCACGAAAGCGUGGGGGGCGAACAGGAUUAGAUACCCUGGUAGUCC